UUUCAGAGACAGGAUCUUGCUAUGUUGCCCAGGCUGAACUCAAACUCCUGGGUUCAAGUGAUUCUUCUGCCUCAGCCUCCUGAGUAGCUGAGACUACAGGUGUGUGCCACUGUGCCCAGCAAGAUUUUUAAAAAAAAAGUAUGCCCGGACACCACUGUAAACCAACUAAAUCAGAAUCAGAUAUAGUGAAGUCAUUAAUCAUUUUGCUCCUGGGUCUUUAUGACAGUUUUGCUCCUGGAAAACUCCUGGGAAUGUGGUAGAGAGAGAGAAAGAGGUGGGAAAAUAAGAUUUUAAGAAGUGUUGCUAUGCAUUUUGAAAAUAAUUUUUCUUUGGUGUUUUUCUUGAGGGACGGCGGUAAGCAUUUCAGUUGCCUUUAAGUAUGUUUGGAUGUUGGAAUGAUGGUUCUUUGAAUGUAGCAUCGAACUUGUAUUGGGCCACAUGGCAGCCAGCGUGAGGCUUUAUGCCACAUUUAUAAAAUAUGAGUGUCAUGAGCCCACUCUCAGGGACCUUACAAUUUGGAGGGUUAGGUCAGAUCCACAAAUCUCUUCUAUCUCAUGGUAAAGGAAACCUGGCGUGUAGCAGGAGAUGGCGUGAUAACAAUAACAUAUUGCAUGAUCAAUAUUUGUAUUCUUCUUAGCAAUAUUAAACUUUUUGACCCUCUC
rnacentral:lncRNA from 1 species